GGGUUAGUGGUCUAGUGGUAUGAUUCUCGCUUUGGGUGCGAGAGGUCCAGGGUUCGAUUCCCUGCUAACUCC
rnacentral:tRNA from 1 species